rnacentral:rRNA from 1 species
UCCGUAGGUGGAUAAUUAAGUCAGAGGUGAAAUCCUGCAGCUCAACUGUAGAAUUGCCUUUGAUACUGGUUAUCUUGAGUUAUUAUGAAGUAGUUAGAAUAUGUAGUGUAGCGGUGAAAUGCAUAGAUAUUACAUAGAAUACCAAUUGCGAAGGCAGAUUACUAAUAAUCAACUGACACUGAUGGACGAAAGCGUGGGAGCGAACAGGAUUAGAUACCCUGGUAGUCC